GUCAAUAUCUUUUAAUGCCUUUUAGAUCUAAAUUUAGCCUUGCAUAAAUCUAUCGAUAUGAUAUUAUCUUACCAUUGCUCAUGAUAUCAUAUGUUUCUGUUCUUGAUUAAGCUGGGCAGUCAACUUAGAAUAUGUUUUGAAACUAGUUGUAUUGUUACAUAAAUCAUCUGCAACCCGAUCGCAUGGCUCUCAAGACUUAAGCUUGAGGUGUUCUCUUCAUUUGGUAUUGUCCAGAAAAUUGCUAUGUUUGAAAAGAAUGGUCAAACUUAGGCGCACUGAUUCAGUACCCUGAUGUUACAACAACAACAGCUGGUAGAGAAGCUUUAGAAGGGCAUUGCAUUUAUGAUGGUGAUCAUUGUAAGCUUCAUCUAUCAUACUCUAGUCAUACUGAUAUCAAUGUAAAGGUAUAAAAAUGUGUUGAGUUAAUGUUAAUGAAGGAAAUUAAGAGAUAUCCUUAGACGCAAUGUGGACACUUUCUUGAUCGGAAAUGUGUUGAGUUAAUGUUAAUGAAGGAAAUUAAGAGUAUAGACUAUAUAGUGCCACAUCCUAAUUUGCUUGCAGCACAAGGUCCUCCGACAGUAUGGCAUGAUCCCCAGGCUGCCCCCAUGCACCCUACCAGUUCCCCUGGUUUUCAAACUGAAGUUCCUGGAGGACAAGGACCAUCAUAGGAUCUAACUCAGGAUCAAUUAGACCUUGUUAUGUUUCCCUUCCCAAAGCUUAUCCUGUUCAAACUGGUGCUUAUCCUAUUAUGCCCACCAACACGUCCACAGCGAUGCCUUCCGCUUCUUCAUCUCAUGCUCAAAGCAGCCAUCUCGGGGCUCCACGCAAUGCAAAUUUACAGUCUUGUGGUGGUCCUGGUUCCUUGCCUUUCAUUCAAAUCAACCUUGGUGGUCAAGGAAUGGUUCGACCUGGGGCUCUGCCAAACAUGAGACCUGGUGGUGCUUCACCUUUAGGUCAGCGUAAUUAUGGUUAGAAAGUUUUACUUUUACUUUUAACCUAAUGAAAGGAGAACUUUAAUGAUAUGGACUAAGAGUGAUAAUAUUAGUAAGUUGUUGUUGGAAAGUACAUAAUCAUGACAUCAUCGAUAAUAUUAGUCAAUUUAAUAAUGAAAUUUAAUUU